GGGCUUGCUUCUGCAGUCCGCAUACUAAAACUGGAGCAAUAUAGAGGUUAUCGUGGUCCCUGUGCAAUGAGGACAUGUAUAUUCGUGAAGUAUUCCAUAUGUGG
rnacentral:snRNA from 1 species